AGUGAACGCUGGCGGUAGGCCUAACACAUGCAAGUCGAACGGCAGCACAGUAAGAGCUUGCUCUUACGGGUGGCGAGUGGCGGACGGGUGAGGAAUACAUCGGAAUCUACCUUUUCGUGGGGGAUAACGUAGGGAAACUUACGCUAAUACCGCAUACGACCUACGGGUGAAAGCAGGGGAUCUUCGGACCUUGCGCGAUUGAAUGAGCCGAUGUCGGAUUAGCUAGUUGGCGGGGUAAAGGCCCACCAAGGCGACGAUCCGUAGCUGGUCUGAGAGGAUGAUCAGCCACACUGGAACUGAGACACGGUCCAGACUCCUACGGGAGGCAGCAGUGGGGAAUAUUGGACAAUGGGCGCAAGCCCGAUCCAGCCAUACCGCGUGGGUGAAGAAGGCCUUCGGGUUGUAAAGCCCUUUUGUUGGGAAAGAAAAGCAGCAGGUUAAUACCCCGCUGUUCUGACGGUACCCAAAGAAUAAGCACCGGCUAACUUCGUG
rnacentral:rRNA from 1 species